rnacentral:rRNA from 1 species
UUGGAGGGCAAGUCUGGUGCCAGCAGCCGCGGUAAUUCCAGCUCCAAUAGCGUAUAUUAAAGUUGUUGCAGUUAAAAAGCUCGUAGUUGAAUUUCGGGGUCAGUAGGUUGGUCAUGCCACUGGUAUGUACUGGUCUCACUGAUUCCUCCUUCCUGAUGAACUGUAAUGCCAUUAAUUUGGUGUUGCAGGGAAUCUGGACUGUUACUUUGAAAAAAUUAGAGUGUUUAAAGCAGGCUUUAGCUUGAAUACAUUAGCAUGGAAUAAUGAAAUAGGACGUUUGAUCCUAUUUUGUUGGUUUCUAGGAUUGACGUAAUGAUUAAUAGGGAUAGUUGGGGGCAUUAGUAUUCAAUUGUCAGAGGUGAAAUUCUUGGAUUUAUUGAAGACUAACUACUGCGAAAGCAUUUGCCAAGGAUGUUUUCAUUAAUCAAGAACGAAAGUUAGGGGAUCGAAGACGAUCAGAUACCGUCGUAGUCUUAACCAUAAACUAUGCCGACUAGGGAUCGGAUGAUGUUAAUUUUUUAAUGACUCGUUCGGCGCCUUACGGGAAAC